rnacentral:lncRNA from 1 species
ACCUAAAACUAAUAAUUAUUAUUAUUCUCCCGGUCACAUCGGAUAUAUAUCAAUAUCAAUAAGAUGUGAAUUUUUCUGUGGUGAGAAGCCCUUUUUCUGGGUCACAGUCUCACAGAGUCACAGGUGCUUGUGAGAGCCAUGAGAAAAAAUUCUAGAAUGCAACGGGUAUAUUAAUGACUUGGCGUAAUAAAUUAAUCAAAUUAAUUCUUUUAAGAAUAUAUGUCCCAUCAUGAUUGUAAAAAAGUAUUUUUAUUAUACUUUUGUUUAAAAAGAAUGAAUGUGAUUAGUUUGUUAUUGAUGACGUAGUGCAAGUGUGACAGUGUAGAAUUCCUCAAGGCAUGAGACA